GUCUGGCGGCGUGCUAUACAUGCAAGUCGAGCGAACAGACGAGGAGCUUGCUCCUCUGACGUUAGCGGCGGACGGGUGAGUAACACGUGGAUAACCUACCUAUAAGACUGGGAUAACUUCGGGAAACCGGAGCUAAUACCGGAUAAUAUAUUGAACCGCAUGGUUCAAUAGUGAAAGACGGUUUUGCUGUCACUUAUAGAUGGAUCCGCGCCGCAUUAGCUAGUUGGUAAGGUAACGGCUUACCAAGGCAACGAUGCGUAGCCGACCUGAGAGGGUGAUCGGCCACACUGGAACUGAGACACGGUCCAGACUCCUACGGGAGGCAGCAGUAGGGAAUCUUCCGCAAUGGGCGAAAGCCUGACGGAGCAACGCCGCGUGAGUGAUGAAGGUCUUCGGAUCGUAAAACUCUGUUAUUAGGGAAGAACAAAUGUGUAAGUAACUAUGCACGUCUUGACGGUACCUAAUCAGAAAGCCACGGCUAACUACGUGCCAGCAGCCGCGGUAAUACGUAGGUGGCAAGCGUUAUCCGGAAUUAUUGGGCGUAAAGCGCGCGUAGGCGGUUUUUUAAGUCUGAUGUGAAAGCCCACGGCUCAACCGUGGAGGGUCAUUGGAAACUGGAAAACUUGAGUGCAGAAGAGGAAAGUGGAAUUCCAUGUGUAGCGGUGAAAUGCGCAGAGAUAUGGAGGAACACCAGUGGCGAAGGCGACUUUCUGGUCUGUAACUGACGCUGAUGUGCGAAAGCGUGGGGAUCAAACAGGAUUAGAUACCCUGGUAGUCCACGCCGUAAACGAUGAGUGCUAAGUGUUAGGGGGUUUCCGCCCCUUAGUGCUGCAGCUAACGCAUUAAGCACUCCGCCUGGGGAGUACGACCGCAAGGUUGAAACUCAAAGGAAUUGACGGGGACCCGCACAAGCGGUGGAGCAUGUGGUUUAAUUCGAAGCAACGCGAAGAACCUUACCAAAUCUUGACAUCCUCUGACCCCUCUAGAGAUAGAGUUUUCCCCUUCGGGGGACAGAGUGACAGGUGGUGCAUGGUUGUCGUCAGCUCGUGUCGUGAGAUGUUGGGUUAAGUCCCGCAACGAGCGCAACCCUUAAGCUUAGUUGCCAUCAUUAAGUUGGGCACUCUAAGUUGACUGCCGGUGACAAACCGGAGGAAGGUGGGGAUGACGUCAAAUCAUCAUGCCCCUUAUGAUUU
rnacentral:rRNA from 1 species